UACGUAGGGUGCAAGCGUUGUCCGGAAUUAUUGGGCGUAAAGAGCUCGUAGGUGGUCUGUCGCGUCUGGUGUGAAAACUCGGGGCUUAACCCCGGGCCUGCAUCGGGUACGGGCAGACUAGAGUGUGGUAGGGGAGACUGGAAUUCCUGGUGUAGCAGUGAAAUGCGUAGAUAUCAGGAGGAAUACCGAUGGCGAAGGCAGGUCUCUGGGCUGACACUGACGCUCAUGCACGAAAGCGUGGGGAGCAAACAGG
rnacentral:rRNA from 1 species